rnacentral:rRNA from 1 species
AUGAACCGUUUGUGGUGCUCGCUCUCCCACACGCUCCGCCGCUGCAGAGCUCCGGGCGCGCCGCAGCGCCUGCUUGACUGGUGGUGUUCUUCUGCCUCCCGCGUCACGCCCGCUCUACUCCGUCGUUGUCCACCGUCGACUGUGUCGAGGCCACUUCGUCUACAGUACCGUUGGUACGACGACCCUCGGAAGGCCAUGACGGCGACGGCGAUCGGCUUGAGCGCCACGGUCAUGGCAGCCUGCCAGGUCGUGCCCUGCACCAACCGCUCCCACCUGGUCGUCCUCUCCGCCCAGAAGGAGCGCGACCUUGGUGAGUCCCAUUUCACCGAGUUGAAGCACAUCUACAGGCAUAGGACGGUCGACCCACACCAUCCGGAUAGCGUCCGUGUACGUCUCAUCGCCGACAAAAUCAUCCACGCCGCCAACCGCGGCCUUGGCAUCUACGACAGCCGUGACGCCCCCUUGCUCAGCGUCACCCGCAAAGGGAAGAAGAAGCCGUGGGCACGGCAGCCGCACACGAGGCACCUCCAUGGGCUCGACACCUGGGAGCUGGUCCUUGUCAGUGAUGGUAGGAUCGGAGCCACGUCCUCCCCCGGUGGCAGGAUUUUAGUCUUCACCGGCCUGCUCGACUGGCUUAAGACCGACGGCGAGAUCGCCUUCUGCAUUGCACACGAGAUUGGGCACCACAUUGCAAGGCACACAGCGGAUAUCACGAGUAGAUUGUUGCUACCGAAAUUCCUACGCCCAACCUUCAUACGACGGGCUGAGAUAGAGGCAGAUCGCAUUGGAAUCUUGCUGCUCGCUGCUGCUGGUUUUCAUCCAGACCAUGCCCUUGCAUUCGCUAAGAAGGCAGCUACAGUUGUACCAAAGUAUUCUGUACUGAAACAGAUGCUAGAAAUUACUCAUCCCCACCCUGAGGACAGACUGGCGCGUUUAUCAGAGGCUAAGACCAUGGAGGAAGCGCUUGAACUGUACAGAGAAGCUACUGCCAGGGAUAAAGUAACUGAAAAAUAUUUCAGUAACCCAACCAUGUAA